GUGGCUCCAGUGGCCUAGAGUAUGAGACCCGGGCGGAGUAUGAGACGUGCGAAUUUGGGCUGCCGAGCCGCUGCUGUGAAGAGAGGGUCACCGGCCGCAGUGGCGAGGCAGCCAGCAUUCGCCAUCUCCCAGGCCCAACUUUGCGCCCUGAGCUUAGCGCACGCGGUGCUAAGACGCAAAGUCGGAUAAAAGGGAAAAGUGUUUCCAGCGUUUCCCCAAAACGUUCUCCCGAUAUUUCCCCAAAAUAGGAGUGGUGGAGUGAUGACACGUGAUGGAGAGAACACUCGUACGCAACACGGCUAAGUCCUGUCAAUCAAGAUUUCAUCUCCCCCACUGGCCUGGCAAUGGGGACAGAGAAGCAGGAAGGGGGCGCGAGCGCCGGAGAGGUGCUCGCGGCCCGGGACCGCGGGCACCCCUGGCCAAGGUCUGCCAAGCCCAGCAAGUGAGCCGUCGGCAGGAUGGAGAGCAGAUAAUUGGGCCAGAGGGAGGGGUGCAGAACCUGGAUCCUGGAGACAGUUGGCGAAUACAUGUGUGUGUCUUGCUGAGGAAGGACCAGCAGAAGGGAAGACUGGAAAUCUGGCCUUUUUUGGUUCGCCUUUGUCACUGACGCACUGGGCGCAGUGAAGGAAUUACCGUUUAUUCAGAGGCUGACAUGCUGCUGAUUGAAGUACAGAGAAGAGCAAUCAAGGUUGGUUUUUUUUUUUUUUUUUCAUGUAGCUUUUGACAUGUACAAAGAAAAUGAUUUCAAGAAACAAACACACACUAGAAAGAAACAAACUGUAAAUAGUUGCCAGUCAGCUACUCGGAUUACUCGGAGUAAUUACUCAAAUACUCGGAUUACUACAAGUAUUUUGCCACUCUCACUCUUACCACUCCUCCCCCAUAAUCAGCAUCUAAAUGCAACAGGAAUUAUUCUUUUGUUCAUGACUGUGUGGGUGGGGAAGCAAAAGGUCAGACUUCAUGGCAUCUCGUGUUCAGGGACCCUAGGACCUGGGCUUGGAUAACCUGACAGCCCCAGACACCCUCCCUGACACAGGCAGGGAGGCAGCCUCACAGGAAAUGAGCAGAAGCCUUCAUCUCC
rnacentral:lncRNA from 1 species